rnacentral:rRNA from 1 species
UACAGAGGUCUCAAGCGUUGUUCGGAUUCAUUGGGCGUAAAGGGUGUGUAGGUGGCGCGCUAAGUCGGGUGUGAAAUUUCGGAGCUUAACUCCGAAACUGCAUUUGAUACUGGCGUGCUUGAGGACUGGAGAGGAGACUGGAAUUCAUGGUGUAGCAGUGAAAUGCGUAGAGAUCAUGAGGAAGACCAGUGGCGAGGGCGGGUCUCUGGACAGUUCCUGACACUGAGACACGAAGGCCAGGGGAGCAGACGGG